ensembl:scaRNA small Cajal body-specific RNA 1
AUGCACCCAUACACGAGCCUGACAGUCUGCUCUGUCCCUGAUGUUUGAACAUCAGGACAGGUCUGUGGCUGCAUGGCUUCCAACGGUGCUACAGCAAAAUCAGCCGUGAGGUUUAAGCUGAUCAGUGGAAGCGACACUGAUGAGUUAUGACUCAGAGGUACACCU